rnacentral:rRNA from 1 species
UUCGUAUCCUCUUUAAAAGGAUACAAAAAGCAAAAUUAAACUGAAGAGUUUGAUCAUGGCUCAGAUUGAACGCUGGCGGCAUGCCUAACACAUGCAAGUCGAACGGAAACGAUGCUAGCUUGCUAGCAGGCGUCGAGUGGCGGACGGGUGAGUAA